ACAUGGAUACAUAUAAGAAAAAUAAAAAAUAAAAAUAAAAGAAACAAUAGGACAGGGACAGUAGGCACGUUGGUGCGUUUAUGCACACCCCCUACAGACCUCUUAGGAAAGGGGCAAGGUAAAUAGUAGACAGUAUAAGGUUAAAGUUUUUGGGGUCUGGG